ensembl:lncRNA
ACGGAUUCGAGUAAGUGUAAGAAAAAGUCCUGGAGCACUUGGCUGCUUGGCUGGGUGUCAGGCUUUGUAAGCGCAGUCAGCUGUCCCGGGGGCGGAGAAGUCCAAGAAAGAGGGCAAGGAGGCUGUUAGCAGCAGGGGAAGGGAAUUUCCUCAGUUUGAACCUUUCUUUCUCUUGGACAGUGAAUCAAAAUUUCCACUUUAGAAUCCAACAGAGAGAGGAAGAAUUUGUUUGGUUUGGUUUUGAAUUCUUUCCUUUUUGUUCUAAUGUCAGAUGAGAUGGGAAGCAGCUUUGAUGUAGAGGAUGGUGUGGCCCUUGGAGUCAGGAAGACCUGGUUCAAACCCCACCUUCUGAUACCUCCGCCCGCAGGAUGGGACCCUGAUCCCAAAUCCCCAUUCUCUCUCUCUGUCUGUCUCUCUCUCUCUCUUUCUCUCUCUCUCUCUGUCUCUCUCUCUCUCUGUCUCUCUGUCUCUCUGUCUCUCUCUGUCUCUCUGUCUCUGUCUCUGUCUCUCUGUCUCUCUCUCUCUCUCUCUCUCUCUCUCUGUCUGUCUCUGUCUCUCUCUCUCUCUCCCUCCCUCCCUCCCUCUCUCUCUCUCUCCCCCUCCCUCCCCUCCGCCCCUCCCCCCCUCUCCCCCCCCCUCCCAGCACCCGGGCAAUCUUCUGCUAUUAUCAACUGCCAGCCUCCAGCGAGUGAGGAAAUGCCCUCCACCAAAGAAACCUCACGUUCAGUCCAAGAGAAUCCGUUAAGACCGAAAAAGAAGGCAAUAAAAUUGGGGACGCAGAGACUUGGUAUGAUUCUUCUCCCGCAGUCAGUCACCUUCCCACCUGCCAGACUCGGUGGGGCUGCUUUUCAGUCCGCUGGGCUUCUGGUCUUUGGUUCAUGUGACCUGAAGAAGUGCUCGUCCCUCUGGAUGUGCAGUUAUUCUUUGUGCACAGUGUCAAAUAUUUGUCACAUCCCAGCCAAGCAUUUGCAGUUUUAUGUCCUUUGACAUGUAAAAAUGGAUGCUGCUGCCCUUUGACAAAAGGUUGUCUUGAAAUCUCUUUUUUUAAAGGAAACCUUUUCUUGUAUACUCGAAAAUAUAUGCAAAUCCACACUGCACUCUGUUGAGCUUGCUUUUUCCUACAGAAACCACGUCGAAGACAAUGUUUGGAGGCGAUAGAGCUUGGAAAGAUAGAAUCUUAUUUCUCUUUAACUUGGUUUCUGUUUGGGGUAAAUUAUAAACCCAGCGACCACAUUUUCAAGUGCACAAACAAGAACAAACAUUAGCUUAGAUUGCAAUAUGCAAUUCCAUUGAGUUUGUUUUUCAUUCUAUAUUAAUGUUUUGUAAGAUAGUAACAGAAUCACCCCUCUUAUUUCCACAUCUUUUCACAAACAUUUUCCUCCAAGUUUUGUUCCAGUCAUUAUCAUUUAGAGAAUAAUAGCGUGACUAGAACUGAAAAUUCUUCUUCAUCGUCUUCAUUGGGCAUCAUUUCGUGUUUUGCCAUAUUUCUUUGCAUGCUUCCUAUUUGUGCUUUAUUGGUGCAUAGUACAUUGCAUUUGUUUGGUACAAUUUGUACAGCCAUUCCCUAAUAAGAGAUAUUAUUUUCAAGGUUCUUGGAAAUAAAGUUGCAAUUGUUCAGCUGGGGGCUGGGGUG